rnacentral:tmRNA from 1 species
GGGGACGUGUGGUUCGACAGGGGAGUUUGAUUCCGGAGUUGCAAGCCGAGGUGCCAUCAACCUCGUAAAUCAGGUGGCAAAAAAAACAACUGGCGAACGCGAAUACGCACUGGCAGCCUAAGAUAAGGCAGCCACGUCCACCUCAACCUCUCCUCGAAGGGUGAGAAUUGGGCGCCGAAAAGUCGAGGUGCAGCGACCCCGAUGCCGGUAAGGGUUGCCCAAGACAAAUCGGCUGGCUCUACCGUACUCGGUCAGCGGAGGAUGGUAGAGCGAGAAAAAACGGCUGACUAAGCUUGUAGAUGCUCUGGAUGGGAUUCUUCUGGACGGGGAGUUCGACUCUCCCCCGUCUCCACCA